GGGGAGAUACCAAAGCGGCCAACUGGGGCAGACUGUAAAUCUGUUGUCUACGACUUCGCAGGUUCGAAUCCUGCUCUCCCCA
rnacentral:tRNA from 1 species